rnacentral:rRNA from 1 species
CUGGACCGUGUACAAGUCUCUUGGAACGGAGCGUCAUAGAGGGUGAGAAUCCCGUCUGUGACACGGACUACCAGUGCUUUUGUGAUGCGCUCUCGAAGAGUCGAGUUGUUUGGGAAUGCAGCUCAAAAUGGGUGGUAAAUUCCAUCUAAAGCUAAAUAUUGGCGAGAGACCGAUAGCGAACAAGUACCGUGAGGGAAAGAUGAAAAGCACUUCGGAAAGAGAGUUAAACAGUACGUGAAAUUGUUGAAAGGGAAACGCUUGAAGUCAGUCGCGUCUUCCGGAACUCAGCCUUGCUUCUGGUUGGUGUACUUUCCGGAUGACGGGUCAACAUCAAUUUUGACCGUCGGAAAAAGGCUGAGGGAAUGUGGCACCUCCGGGUGUGUUAUAGCCCCUGCUCGUAUACAGCGGUUGGGAUCGAGGAACGCAGCGCGCCGCAAGGCAGGGGUUCGUCCACGUUCGAGCUUAGGAUGCUGGCAUAAUGGCUUUAAAAGACCCGUCUUG